ACUGUUCUUGGGCCUUUUUCUUUCCUGAUAAUGCUCUGGGGACCACCCUCACUCUUAGGAAUUAGAAUUGCUUUGAAGUUCUGACAAAAGUCCAAAAGUUCAGAGACUAGACACUUCCAGUAAUAUCCUAAGAUGUACUGACUUCAGGACACCUAUCAUCAUCAUUUACUAUAUGCCCUAAAUAUGGAAUGUGCUGUGCUGUAUUUCUAGAGUAUGAAUGAAAACUGAGGAAUUUUGCCUAAGCAAAUAAUUCGGGAUGUACAAGAAUUUAGGAAUAGCAUUGUUUCAUGCCAGAUUACUUGUGAAGGAUAAAGAAGCGGAGGUGAAACCUAGGGGAUGGCUGAUUGGGGAACUUUCAACAGACCAGACAACAGAAACUAAGACUAACAGUGAACGUGAAAGAAACACAUCCUUAUGCUAUUCCGGACCAAAUACCUGGACUCUUGUUGCUGACUGCGCUGCAGGGCUGCAAGCAGGGCAGUGUAUUGUCUCGUCUCAGAUGCCAGCAACCUGUUCUGUGAUGCCUGGCCCAACGCAGAGAAGCAGAGACACCAGAUAACCCCUUCUGCUCAUCCCCAAUGUCUCCAGUAAGCACCCUGAUGACCGCUCUUGACCACAUCCAUGCCUGUCCCUCCAGCGUCUGCUCCCUGGGCUGUCAGCAUCUCCAGAGCCCAUCUGUCCUUCCAACAGCCCUCCUCAGGGAACUAUAUUCACUUUAAAGGAAGAAGAAGAAGCUCAAAGACCUUAUGGGACAUCUGUGGGUCAUCGGAGAGCCCUGCAAGAAGCUACAUAGCCUACUAAGGGUCCUGCAAAGGGAACACAGACCACACAUCAGCAUUUAUUGAGGAUCUGCUCAAACAUGGAAGCCCGAGUCUCUAAGGAAGGAUGGUGACCCUUAUGUGAUAGAGGAAGAGAUGGAAGCUUGUUCUUCGCAGGUAAAUGUUUUACAGCCUCUCUCUGGAGAUAAAAGCCUUGAUGUGUAGCAUUUGCCGAUUUUCACGGUGUGACUACCUCCCUUGAAGCCAGUUUCAAUACCAACACAUCUCUGAAUGCUAAGGUUGGAAGAGCUGCACACAACCAGCCCUUGCCAGACAGGAUGAGCUGGCUCCAGCACCCACCGCUGAAAAAAAAAAUCAUUAAAACUCUACUCUUAAAAACUGAAGUGUUACACUUUUUGGAAAUAAUGACAGUCUUAGUGGGUUAUAGACAAAAUUAUAUUCAUAGAAUGUAACAUGCUCAUUGUUUAUUGAGCACCUAUCAUGUGCCAGAGACUUCGGAGGUGCUGGAAAGACUUCAGUGGAUAAGACAAGUCCCACCCAGGCUGUUUCCACCUGAGCGAGUGGUGGUGCCUCCGGCUGAAGGCGAGCACAGGGCAAGCUCAUUGGCUUGUUCAUGUUUUUUGAGAGCUUGGAGUC